rfam:Oryza glumipatula chromosome 11, whole genome shotgun sequence.
AAAUAGACAAACCCUUAUUUUCGUGUCCAACGUUUGACCAUCCGUCUUAUUUAAAAAAUUUAUGAAAAAAAUUAAAAAGACAAGUCACGCAUAAAAUAUUAAUCAUGUUUUAUCAUCUAACAACAAUGAAAAUACAAAUUAUAAAAAAAUUUCAUAUAAGACGGACAGUCAAAGUUAGACAUGGAAAUCCAGAGUUUGUCUUUUU